AAUUCCUUUCGUAACUUCGCGAGUAAGGAUACCUCCUCAUAAGGGGGUUGUAGUGACUAGGUUUGGGUGAUUGUUUUCUAAAAACAUAAGUCUUUGCAAAGUCGUAAGACCAUGUAUGGGGGUUGACGCUUACCCAAUGUCAAAAGGUUAAGAAAGUUGGUGACUUGAUGAUAAAGGAGCCGACGAUCAAAGUUCUGUGAACAGCGGUUAUAACUAUAACAAUCCUAAAGUAGCAAAAUUCCUUGUCGGGUAAGUUUCAGCCUGCACAAAAGUUGUAAUGAUCUGGGCACUG
rnacentral:ncRNA from 1 species